AUGAACGCUGGCGGCGUGCCUAAUCCCUGCAAGUCGAGCGAACAGAUGAGGAGCUUGCUCCUCUGACGUUAGCGGCGGACGGGUGAGUAACACGUGGAUAACCUACCUAUAAGACUGGGAUAACUACGGGAAACCGGAGCUAAUACCGGAUAAUAUAUUGAACCGCAUGGUUCAAUAGUGAAAGACGGUUUUGCUGUCACUUAUAGAUGGAUCCGCGCCGCAUUAGCUAGUUGGUAAGGUAACGGCUUACCAAGGCAACGAUGCGUAGCCGACCUGAGAGGGUGAUCGGCCACACUGGAACUGAGACACGGUCCAGACUCCUACGGGAGGCAGCAGUAGGGAAUCUUCCGCAAUGGGCGAAAGCCUGACGGAGCAACGCCGCGUGAGUGAUGAAGGUCUUCGGAUCGUAAAACUCUGUUAUUAGGGAAGAACAAAUGUGUAAGUAACUAUGCACGUCUUGACGGUACCUAAUCAGAAAGCCACGGCUAACUACGU
rnacentral:rRNA from 1 species